rnacentral:rRNA from 1 species
GGAAUCUUGCACAAUGGAGGAAACUCUGAUGCAGCGAUGCCGCGUGAGUGAAGAAGGCCUUUGGGUUGUAAAGCUCUUUUGUAGGGGAAGAUAAUGACUGUACCCUAAGAAUAAGGUCCGGCUAACUUCGUGCCAGCAGCCGCGGUAAUACGAAGGGACCUAGCGUAGUUCGGAAUUACUGGGCGUAAAGCGCGCGUAGGCCGUUGAGUUAGUUAAUUGUGAAAUCCCAAAGCUUAACUUUGGAACUGCAAUUAAAACUGCUCGACUAGAGUUUGGUAGAGGAAAGCGGAAUACAUAGUGUAGAGGUGAAAUUCGUAGAUAUUAUGUAGAACACCAGUUGCGAAGGCGGCUUUCUGGAUCAACACUGACGCUGAGGCGCGAAAGUAUGGGUAGCAAAGAGGAUUAGAUACCCUCGUAGUCCAUACCAUAAACGAUGAUUGCUAGAUGUUGGAAAUUUAUUUUCAGUAUCGCAGCUAACGCAUUAAGCAAUCCGCCUGGGGAGUACGACCGCAAGGUUAAAACUCAAAUGAAUUGACGG